AUUGAACGCUGGCGGCAGGCCUAACACAUGCAAGUCGAGCGAGAGGCGGAAGCGUGAGUAUUGUAUGGGGACUGCCCGCUAGAGGGGGCUAACUACUGGAAACGCUAGAUCAUACCGCAUACUAUCGGAUAACCCAUAUGGGAUUAGCUAGUAGGUGUGGUAAUGGCUCACCUAGUCGACGAUCCCUAGCUGGUCUGAGAGGAUGAUCAGCCACACUGGGACUGAGACACGGCCCAGACUCCUACGGAGGCAGCAGUGGGGAAUAUUGCACAAUGGGCGCAAGCCUGAUGCAGCCAUGCCGCGUGUAUGAAGAAGGCCCUAGGGUUGUAAAGUACUUUCAGUCGGGAGGCGUUACCGACAGAAGAAGCACCGGCUAACUCCGUGCCAGCAGCCGCGGUAAUAC
rnacentral:rRNA from 1 species